rnacentral:rRNA from 1 species
UACGGGGGGGGCAAGCGUUGUUCGGAAUUACUGGGCGUAAAGGGCUCGUAGGCGGCCAACUAAGUCAGACGUGAAAUCCCCAGGCUUAACCGGGGAACUGCGUCUGAUACUGUCGGACUAGAGUCCGGAAGAGGCAAGUGGAAUUCCCGGUGUAGCGGUGAAAUGCGCAGAUAUCGGGAGGAACACCAAUGGCGAAGGCAGCUUGCUGGGACGGUACUGACGCUGAGGCGCGAAAGCUAGGGGAGCGAACAGG